UACGAAGGGGGCUAGCGUUGCUCGGAAUCACUGGGCGUAAAGGGCUCGUAGGCGGCCAACUAAGUCAGACGUGAAAUCCCUCGGCUUAACCGGGGAACUGCGUCUGAUACUGGAUGGCUUGAGUUUGGGAGAGGGAUGCGGAAUUCCGGGUGUAGCGGUGAAAUGCGUAGAUAUCCGGAGGAACACCGGUGGCGAAGGCGGCUUCCUGGACCGACACUGACGCUGAGGCGCGAAAGCUAGGGGAGCAAACGGG
rnacentral:rRNA from 1 species